rnacentral:tRNA from 1 species
GACACUAUGGCCGAGUGGUUAAGGCGACAGAUUCGAAUUAUUCGUACCAUCUGUUUCGGUCUCCGAGCGCAGGUUCAAGUCCUGCUGGUGUCG